AGAGUUUGAUCAUGGCUCAGAACGUACGCUGGCGGCACGCCUUAUACAUGCAAGUCGAACGAAGUAGCAAUACUUAGUGGCAGACGGGUGAGUAACAUGUGGGUAUCUUCCCUUUGGCCUGGAAUAACACGAGGAAACUUGUGCUAAUACCGGAUAAGUCUUUACAGAGAAAGCUUUAUGCACCAUUGGAUGAGCCCGCACUUGAUUAGUUUGUUGGUGGGGUAAUGGCCUACCAAGACAAUGAUCAAUAGCUGAUUUGAGAGGAUGAUCAGCCACAUUGGAACUGAGACACGGUCCAAACUCCUACGGGAGGCAGCAGUAGGGAAUCUUGCACAAUGGAGGAAACUCUGAUGCAGCGAUGCCGCGUGAGUGAAGAAGGCCCUUGGGUUGUAAAGCUCUUUCGUCGGGGAAGAAAAUGACUGUACCCGAAUAAGAAGGUCCGGCUAACUUCGUGCCAGCAGCCGCGGUAAUACGAAGGGACCUAGCGUAGUUCGGAAUUACUGGGCUUAAAGAGUUCGUAGGUUGUUAAAAAAGUUGGUGGUGAAAUCCCAGAGCUUAACUCUGGAACUGCCAUCAAAACUUUUUAGCUAGAGUAUGAUAGAGGAAAGCAGAAUUUCUAGUGUAGAGGUGAAAUUCGUAGAUAUUAGAAAGAAUACCAAUUGCGAAGGCAGCUUUCUGGAUCAUUACUGACACUGAGGAACGAAAGCAUGGGUAGCGAAGAGGAUUAGAUACCCUCGUAGUCCAUGCCGUAAACGAUGUGUGUUAGACGUUGGAAAUUUAUUUUCAGUGUCGCAGCGAAAGCGAUAAACACACCGCCUGGGGAGUACGACCGCAAGGUUAAAACUCAAAUGAAUUGACGGGGACUCGCACAGUAGUGGAGCAUGUGG
rnacentral:rRNA from 1 species